AUUGAACGCUGGCGGCAUGCCUUACACAUGCAAGUCGAACGGGCUUUGGGGCUUGCUCCAAAGUUAGUGGCGAACGGGUGAGUAAUAUAUCGGAACGUACCCUUGAGUGGGGGAUAACUAGUCGAAAGACUGGCUAAUACCGCAUACGAUCUACGGAUGAAAGUGGGGGACCGCAAGGCCUCAUGCUCGUGGAGCGGCCGAUAUCUGAUUAGCUAGUUGGUGGGGUAAAAGCCUACCAAGGCGACGAUCAGUAGCUGGUCUGAGAGGACGAUCAGCCACACUGGGACUGAGACACGGCCCAGACUCCUACGGGAGGCAGCAGUGGGGAAUUUUGGACAAUGGGCGAAAGCCUGAUCCAGCAAUGCCGCGUGAGUGAAGAAGGCCUUCGGGUUGUAAAGCUCCUUUGUCAGGGAAGAAACGGUGGGGGCUAAUAUCCCUUGCUAAUGACGGUACCUGAAGAAUAAGCACCGGCUAACUACGUGCCAGCCGCCGCAGUAACAC
rnacentral:rRNA from 1 species